GAGGAGGGGGAGGAGGAAGGGCGUAGGGGACACCCGCACCCCACACACACCCACACACACACACGGCCGCGCAGCCACAUAGAGGGAGGAACCGAGAGCGGCCCGGCGCGCGCGCGCAGAGAGAACCCGAGACGGAGAGGGAGAGAGGAGAGCGAGGGCCAACCACCGCCGAGUCAAGAUUCAGCGAUUCCACAGCAAUCGCCCUAAUGACAACAGCCUCAUAAUAUCUCCCCUAAAUCCACAGCUCCCCACAUCACAGGAAGGCCAAGGGCCACGGGAGCACGCACGGUUUGCGCACUGUAUGCACGUCGGGCCUACGCUUUCUGCCUAUAUAAGCACUAACAGCGGCGAUGAAGAAAGGAGACGAGAUCAUGGGCGCUACCAAGUGUUGUCCGUGGCCCUGCGGGCUGCUGUGCCCGGGAUCCUAGAUUUCGGGGCGCAUCUGGCCCCUGGGAGCCCGAGCCCAGGAUCCAGGGUCCUGGAAGCAGCUUUGACCUCCUGUCUCCAGGAUGAUCUUCAGCCACAUUUACUCCAACUUCCUCUCCGUUGAAUUUGGCUUCUCUUUACUCUGCCCCCAGUCAGACUUUAGCUGCCUUCCCCAAGGAGCUGUGGAGGAAGUUGCAGAGCUGAGAAGCCUGGGAGACCUCUGAACGCCCCUACCCCAACCCAGAUACCUGUUAACCCCCACCCCUACCCCUCCAAGGAGCUCUGGGCCUGCCUACCAGCUCCAGAAUUCUCAAACCUUUGCAGGCUGCCCCCAAAGAAGCAGAUAGGCCUGAAAUGUUGUUUGCUUAUAAUGUAAAGGAAAAAACAAAGAAACUCUAAUUUCUCUAAAUAAAGUAAAGCCAUAAACCAAAAAGAGCCCCCAAAAGGCUCACAGAAUGGAGAGGGCCCUCCCUUCCUCUGGCCACUGCAACCCCAGGCCCGGCAUGGGUAUUUAUUCUAAGGUAUGUCGCUUUUAAGAAGACGUAAUCAGCGCCUUGAGCUGAGGCCUCUCUUUGUGAGGCUUCUGAAACUAUGGAAGUGUGAUUUACGCAGAUUUGUCGGGGUCACAGACGUCUUUCCCCCAGCACUGUGUAUAUUUGGACAGGACUCGGUUUGGUGUUAAAAAGUGUAUAUUUUGAAUGAGUUCACACACAGUAGCCAACAAUGCCCACAUUGUCGGCCCGUGUACAACGCGUAUUGAAACGCAGCGUCCAGACUUCAACUAAUCUGCCCUCAAUAA